rnacentral:tRNA from 1 species
GUCCCUGUAGCUUAACUAUUAAAGCAUGGCACUGAAGAUGCUAAGAUGGCUGCCAUAUAGCACCCAGAGACA